rnacentral:rRNA from 1 species
UACGAAGGGUGCGAGCGUUGUUCGGAUUUACUGGGCGUAAAGGGUUCGUAGGCGGGAGGAUAAGUUGAAUGUGAAAUCCCUACGGCUUAACCUAGGACGUGCAUUCAAGACUGUCAUUCUUGAGUAUCGGAGAGGGUUGUGGAAUUGCUGGUGUAGGAGUGAAAUCCGUAGAGAUCAGCAGGAACACCUGAGGCGAAGGCGACAACCUGGCCGAAUACUGACGCUGAGGAACAAAAGCGUGGGGACGCAAACAGG